UCUAUAAAUAAAUAAAUAAAAUCUUUUAAAAAGGAGAAUAUACAAUUUACUUAUUUGUUCAACUGCUGACAGAUCCUUGAGAUGAAAUUUUAUAAUUAUGAACAUGCUGCCCUAAACAUCCUUGUUGGUUUCUCCUGGUACACAUGAGCAAAAGUUUCUCUAAUACAUAUUUAAAGAAUAGGUUGAUGAGUUGUAAAAUGUGUGUAUGUUCAAUUUUAUUAAAAAGUACCAAAGUGUUUUCCCAAAUGCUUGUACUAAUUUGUACUCCUACCAGCAACAGAUAACAGUCCUCAUUAUUUCCUAGCAAUAUUGUUGUCAGAGUUAACAAAAGAAAGCUCAUAAAGUAUACUGAAGGUAUACAAAGAAACUUCUAAUAAAAAUUAUUCAUUUCUUCAAUAAAUAUAUUUUGACUACCUACCUAAUGAAAAUACCAUACAUGGUGUGCUGCUAACUCAGUAAUCAAAAGAAAAGCAUUUUCUUAACCUACUCUUGGUAGCAAGAAAGCCACAGACACUUUUUCUGCUAAAGAUUCUCAUAUUACAAGUAAAAGAAGCUUUCAAGAAUUUUUUAAAAGGGCCUGUUCCAAGAGUUGAAAUGGCUGUAGCAAAGACCUACUCAGAGGAGUAGAAGGUUUGAAGGAAGUACCUGUACAUGCAUAUACACAUAUGCAAUCAUACACGAUAACAGGCAUGCACAUGCAUGCAAUUAAUACCAGGAUAAAAGGUGGCACCAAAGUGUAGAGGGGCUGUAGGUUUCUUUGCAGGCUCUAAUAUUCUUAAUGGGAAAUUAGAAAAGGUUAAAAGCCAAGAGUUUUACUAGACCAUACAACUACAUCUACAGCAACUUCUCUAUGUAACAAAUUCAGAGAAUAACUUGGACUGGAUACAAUAAUGCUGCAAUAAACUUUAGAUCCAGCACAAUCAGACAGAACACUUGUUUGCCUACUUGGAUGUAAAAGAUGUUGAAAGUCCCUCUCACCUCCUAAACAGAUCUUCAUUUCCUCUCACUGUGCCUAAAACCACGUUUGCAUUAUAGUAUUCUGUUGGGCAUUCAGAAUUUUUCAUUCAUUAACAAAUAUUUGCAUUAAAUUGCAAAUAACUCUGGACACAGGCAACUUAUGAAAAAUCAGCUGACAAGGAUAGGCACCUGAGGAAAAACAGAAAUAGGAACGGAGAUGCUGAAUAAAAAGUUGGAGAGCACCAAACAAAAACUCUGCCUGCUUCAUCAUUUUACAGACAUCUGGCCCUAACGCCAGUAGGAAGAAACAUCACUGGUAUCUUUAAUUGACUGAAAAUUUCUUCCACUGGAGACCAAUAUCCCAAAACACACAAACUUUUACUUGCAUUUGUUUAUUUAUUUUUAUACCUUUCCAGUGUGCUCUGGCAAGUCACACUCAUUUCUAACUGUAUUGGAGUAUCAUACAAGUUCAAGUCCAUACACAACUUAAAAUGAGAGAAAGAACUAGGAAUGAAAACAGAGAAGCUCAUAAAAGUAAAAAGUGAUGUGUCAGGUACUGAAAUGCCAGUGCCACAAACCUGGAGGUCAUGAGUCUUGAUCAUUCCCCAGAAAAGUCUGCCUAUGGAGACUGUGUGGCUGGCACCCACAGAGCAAAUAACUUGGAAUGAAUGGAGCCUUUAGAAUGUUGUAUUGAUUGCAGUAAGACAUUUAAGAUUCUAGCACUUCAACUGGUUAGUUCACAUUAAUUGAACACAAUGCUAGACAUUACCCUCAGACACCAAACUAAAAUAUUUAACAACCUAUAAACAGUGCUUUAAUAUUGACGUCUUUGUCUUAAAUGGAAAGCAACCAGAUUACCUUAUUAUGGUUUGAACAAAGUAAACAGAAAUUGGAAAAAAUCCAAAAACUUCUCAAUGUUGCUUUCUACCAGGUUUAGGCUGUUAAUAAAUAUAUCGUAAAUGAACUUAGGCCUUUUUAAAUCUACACUUGCAUGCGUGUUCUUAAAAAGAAUUUAAUAGAUUCCAAUUCUUAACCAUUCCCCUUAAUUCCACAAUUUCUCACCAUUUCCUGUACUAGUUUGCCUCUGCUGUUGACUUUUAUUUCCAUCAUAAAUUAGGCCAAUAAGAAUUCAGAAUCCUAACAUAAAUUUUAUAAACACAUACAGUAUACAUGCCUACUUAGUAAUUAAAACCAGCCUUCUUUAAGUGCAAUGUUUCUUUUCUAGUACUUCCAAAUAUGCAUAAUCUAUUAGGGACUUUAUUUUAUUGGCAAUUUUUAACACUAAAAAUGGAAAACAUGUCUUUUUAAAAAUAUCAAGUUCUUAAUGGUAUAAUCAAUGAGUCCUUUUCUCCCCCAAGGUUGUAUGUGUGUGUGUGUGUGUGUGUGUGUGUGUGUGUGGUGUGCUAUAUGAUUUUUUUUAAAAAAAAGCUAUAGCACUUCUAAAUCUAUCCACUGUUAGCAAAGAUUUUUGCAGUUGAAAGCAAGUUGAAGUCAUAUUGGAUUAGGGUGAGCCCUGAACACAAUGACUAGCGUUGACAAAAGAAAGGAAAGGGAGAUUUGGAUGCAGAAGCACACAAGGAAGGACAUGUGACAACGAAAGCAGAGAUUGGAAUGAUGCAGCUUAAAGCCAAGGAAUGCCACAGAUUACCAGGAGCCAUCUGAAGCUGGAAGAGGUAAGGAAGGACUCUUUUCUAGAGAUUUCAGAGGGUGCAUGACCCUGCCUACACCUUAUUUUCAGGUUUCUAGCCUCCAGAACUGUGUGGAAAUCUAUUUUGGUUGUCUUAAGCCUCCAGUUUGCAGUAUUUGAUGAGGCAGCCCUAGGCAACUAAUACAAAUAGUUUUUUUUUAAUCAAAAGAAUAGUCUUUCUGACAUGUAACAAUUAUGUAAAAUUCAAAUUUCCUUGUCUAUAAAUAAAGUUUUAUUGGAACACAACCACAAACAAUCAUUUCUUUACAUAUUGUCUCUGGCUAUUUUUGCCCUACAUUCACAAAGUUGAAUAGUUACCGCCGAGUCCAUAUGAUCCACCACGGGGGAAAUGUUCCCUAUCUGACUCUAUUCAGAAAAAGUUGGCCAAUCUCUGGCCUUAAACAUUAGCCAAAGACACAAAUAGAGUCCUAAAACAGAUUUGCACCAGUGAGAGAUAACCAAAUAGUAGCUAGAUGAAUAUCUAAACA